ensembl:lncRNA
GUCAACUCUGUCCUGACAUGAACUGAAGCCAUGUCUCAUGUGCCCGCUCAUCCACUGCUACAUUGAAUGUUUCCUCUCCAAGCACUUUGAAGAAAUCCUAUCCUGCAAUGAAGUCAAGCCUCUGAACACCUCAACGCAUGCCUCAUACCCUCAUUCAAUCACUGCUGUGAUCUUACUGUGAUAAACACUGAAGGCCUGACAGAAGACGAAUCACCAGGAUACUCACAGGUUCCUGUGUAACUAAUCGCACAGGGGCGGGGGGAUUGAGAUGGAGAUGCACUACUUCCUCCUUGUGUUUUUGAAGCAGGACCAGGAAACCUUCAGCACUUGGACACCAGAAUGAUAAAAUGCUGAGGCUGAGAGGCAAGCUAUUAAUAGACUCCAGCACCUGAAACUGUCACACUGAUCCUUGUCCCACAGCCCUGUGUCAACAUCAGUAACACAAAAGUACUGUACUGUAUGUGAGACCUGUGAAGUGCUGGUGAAGGUUUUCAUGUAUCGGUUACUGUAUCAUGCAAGUCUUGCUAAUUCUAUUGAUGAUGAUGUAUUAUAUUACAAUAUGUGUCACGUAGGCCUACACAUUGGGG